AUUGAACGCUGGCGGCAGGCUUAACACAUGCAAGUCGAGCGGGGAUAGGGUGCUUGCACCUGAUUCCUAGCGGCGGACGGGUGAGUAAUGCUUAGGAAUCUGCCUAUUAGUGGGGGACAACAUUCCGAAAGGGAUGCUAAUACCGCAUACGCCCUACGGGGGAAAGCAGGGGAUCUUCGGACCUUGCGCUAAUAGAUGAGCCUAAGUCGGAUUAGCUAGUUGGUGGGGUAAAGGCCUACCAAGGCGACGAUCUGUAGCGGGUCUGAGAGGCAGAUCGCCCACACGGGGACUGAUACACGGCCCAGACUCCUACGGGAGGAAGCAGUGGGGAAUAUUGGGCAAUGGGGGGAACCCUGAUCCAGCCAUGCCGCGUGUGUGAAGAAGGCCUUUUGGUUGUAAAGCACUUUAAGCGAGGAGGAGGCGCUCUAGGAUAAUACCCUAGAUGCGUGGACGUUACUCGCAGAAUAAGCACCGGCUAACUCUGUGCCAGCAGCCGCCGUAAUAC
rnacentral:rRNA from 1 species